GUCCUUGUAGCGCAAUAGAUAGCGCUUUGGACUUCUAAUUGAAAGGUCGUGGUUUGGAAUUUCACCUGAGAUG